rnacentral:misc_RNA from 1 species
CGCACCUUGCGCUCCUUGGUAUUCCGAGGAGCAUGCCUGUUUGAGUGUCUUGAAGUCAUCAACCUCUCCCGUUUCUUGCGGGGCGUCGGUUGGAUGUGGGGGCAUGCUGCCGCGAGGCUGCUCCCCUCAAAUGCUUCGGUUGGACCUGUGGGUCGAACUCGACUGGGCGUUGUACCAUCCUCGCUCUCCCCGAGAUGUUCUCCACUUACCGCGUCCCUCCUAGACCUUGCCCGUGGGGUGGCGGUCAACAAAGCUCGACUUUGAAAUCUGACCUCAAAUCAGGUAGGACUACCCGCUGAACUUAA